UACCAGCAGCCCGAGUGGUCGUGACGUUUAUUGGGCCUAAAGCAUCCGUAGCCGGUUCUACAAGUCUUCCGUUAAAUCCACCUGCUUAACAGAUGGGCUGCGGAAGAUACUAUGGAGCUAGGAGGCGGGAGAGGCAAGCGGUACUCGAUGGGUAGGGGUAAAAUCCGUUGAUCCAUUGAAGACCACCAGUGGCGAAGGCGGCUUGCCGGAACGCGCUCGACGGUGAGGGAUGAAAGCUGGGGGAGCAAACCGG
rnacentral:rRNA from 1 species